ensembl:lncRNA
GAGCCGCGGUUCAGUGUGGGCACCGUAGCUGACUGUUGGGUAAAAGCGGUGUCACCUUUCUCGUGGGUUUGCCUGGACUCUAGGCUUCCCUGCGGGCAGGGGGUCCUUCUUUCCAAACUCCUCGCUUUUCCUCCUCGUGCCCGCCACCAGGGGCAGCCUCAUCCCCGCUGCCACCCCAGUCACCUACGCGGCCGCCCUGGCGGCUUCGGGGCCGCUCCUCGGGCCCGGGAAGCGGUGGCGGAGGGCGCUGGGCGCGCAGGCGGCCACCCGGCUCUGCCCCGACCUCUCUCUUCCGACUCCCGUGUCUCCCUCCGCUCCCCCUCGGCCCCUCCUUCCACACUCCGCUGCCUCCUCUCCUCGGAGAGCUUCCCGGCACCUUCCGCGACGAGUUUGGAGCCGCCCCACCGCAGAGCCCACGGCCGUCCGAGCGCGAGCGACGCAGGUGUCCGAGCCCCCGCGCCGCCGUCGUCUUCGCCUCCGCCUGGGUGGGACCUGGGCCUCGAGGUGGGAUCCAACUCUCUCUCCGCCACCCCUACGGCUCCUCCUCCUGCACCUGGCCAGGCGAGGAGGCAGGCGCUCGGGCGCGCGCGGGCGGCUGGAGCCCGCGAGCCACCUGGGGUCCGAGAGGCCGGGGCGGGUCCGGCGGCGUCACCGGAGGGUCGGCGGGGACUCUCGUUCCCCCGGGGCAGGCGCUCCGGGGUAACCCUGGGCGAGAAGCAUCGGGGCGCGCGGCCGAGGGCAUUCGGCCCAGCCUGGGCGCGAACCUGCCCGGCGCCCCCGAAAGGACUUGCCAUCCGGCCAACUUCUUUUCCAGGUCUCCUCGCUACUUUGGAAACUGAAGGGACUGCGACGGAAACCAGUUUAAAUUGUCUUGCUAUCUGGUAAGUCGGGGAGUGAAUCGUCCCUCUUUGUCCGGUUUUUUCAGGAGUUUUAUACCAUUCUUUGGCCCUUUAUCUUUCCAUACAUGUUUUUCAAAUUGGCUUAUCAAGUUCUGAAAAGUUUGUUAGGAAUUUAAUGGAGAUUCCAUUGAGAUUGUUUUGAGUCUAUAAACAAAAGGAAAUUGAUACUCUAUAAAUAUUCAGUUUUAGAAUACAUGACUGUCUCUCAAUAUAUUUAGAUCCUCUCUAACAUGACAAUAUUAUAAUAAUAUUAUAAUAGUAUAAUUUUUCUCUUAGGAGUCCUUGAACAUUUUGUUCCAUUUUUUUAUAGAAACUGCAUGUUUUUGAAAUUAUCUUAAAUGAUGUCUUUUCAAAAAAUUCAUUGUCGUUCUGCUACUGUCAUAGAGAAAUAAACUUGAUCUCUAAAAGUAUUUUAAAAACAAUAGGUUUAUUGGACUAUAAUUCAUAUAUCAUAAAAUUUUCCUUUUAUAGUGUACAAAUAGUACAGUACCAGUACACUAUAGUGUACUGGUUUUCAGUACAUGAACACAGUUAUGUAACCAUUACCAUUAUUUAAUUUUAAAGCUUUAUUAUAAUUCCCGAAGCAACCCCAUACCCCUUAGCAGUCACUCCCUAAGUUCCCUUCUCUGAUCUCUGGAAAUUAUUGAUUUACUUUCUGUGUCUAUGGGUUGCCCAUUCUGGACAUUUUAUAUUAAUAAAAUCAUAGGGGCUUUGGUGAACAGAUUCUUUCACUUAGCAUGCUAUUUUUAAGAUUUAUCCAUGCUGUAUCAUGGAUCAGUACUUCGUUCUUCUUUUUAAUCAUAAAAGAACAUUUUCUUGGGGUUUACAUUGAAAACAUGAUUCCAUGGAAAUACUUCAUUCUUUUUAUGGCCAAAUAAUAUUUUAUUGUAUGGAUAUACCACAUUUUGUUCAUUCACUCAUCAGUUGAUGAAUAUUUGGGUAGUUUCCACUUUUUGACUAUUAUGAAUAGUGCUGUUACUAAUAUUUGCAUAUAAGUUUUUGUGUGAACAUAUGUUUUCAUCUCUUGGGUAUAUACCUAGGAGUAGAAUUGCUCAGUCAUAUGGCAACAUUAUGUUUAACGUUUGAAAAUGUGCCUGUUUUCCAAAGCAGUUUUCAACAUUUUAUAUUCCCACCAGCAAUGCAUUAACAGGGGUUUCAAUUUCUCCAUCUCCUUGUCAACACUUGUUACCAUCCAAAACUUUAAGAUAUCAUAGUGAAUGUGAAGUGAUACUCAUUAUGGUUGUGAGUUGCAUUUUCUGAUGACUGAUGAUCUUGAGCAUUUUUUUUUCAUGUGCUUGUUGGCCAUGAAAAGAUAUUUAUAUAUCUUGAGAAAUGUUCUUUGCUUGUUUAUUAAUUGGAUUGCUUGUCUAUUUUUGUGGUUGGUAUGAGAGUUCUUUAUAUAGUGUACAAUCUCUUUUAAGAUACAGAAUUUCAAAUAUUUUCUCCCAUCCUGUGGGAUUUUCACUUAUUUGAAGGUAUCCUUUGAAGCCCCAAAGUUUUAAAUUUUAAUUGUCUAGUUAAUCUAUUUUUAUACUUAGUUUUGGUGUCAUAUCUAAAAAGCCGUUACCUAUUUCAGGGUUGAAGAGUUUUACUUCUGUGUUUUACAUAUGAGAAUAUUAUAGUUUUAGCUUUUGUAUUUUAGUUUUUGAUUACUUUGAAUAUAUAGAAUGAAGGAAAGGACCAAUUUCUUUCUUUUGCAUCUGGAUAUCUACUUGUCACAGCACCAUUUAUUGAAAGACCAUUCUUUCCUCAUAUCUAGAUAUCUUGUUAAAAACCAUUUUAAAGAUUUAUUUCUGGACUCUCAGCUUUAUUCCAUUGCUCUAUUUCUGUCCUUUUAUGAGGUACCACAUUGUCUUGAUUCAGUUGAGUUCAGUUCAGUUUAGU